AGAUUAUUUUGGAUUUUCUACAAACACAAUGCAGUUCCUGCUGUGCUUGUGUUGGGAAAUCUACCGGAACCCACAGGAGGGAAAGUUUAAUGAAAGCACGCGCCUGCUGGAGAACGAACUGGGCUUUUGAAAAGAGAGGGGCUGUGUUUGUGCUGACACGAACAAGAGACCUGUAUUGCCUUAAAACCACACUCCCAGGAAUGACCACCUGCAAGCUUGCGCUAUGACUCCCAUCCCGAGACAUGUGGGCCAGUAUGAGCGGAGAGGCUCCCAACACAGUCACAAGACCCUGUGAUAUUUAGACUCACCUGUGGCUGUUGACAACACCACACACAUGAAAUGAUGCUCACCAGAAUCGAAAUGUUCAGCUAAACAAAGAAUUGUAUUGGUCAUGAAAUUAUUAACAGGAGGGAUAAAACUCCAGGGUGGGCCAUUAAAGAAUCUGAAUUCAAAUCA
rnacentral:lncRNA from 1 species